UCUGUUGUUGCCUGAGUUGUUAAUGUUAGCCAUUCUGACAGGUGUAGGGGUGAUAUCUCAUUGUGGUUUUGAUUUGCACUUCCCUGGGAUUAGUGAUAUUGAGUGUCUUUCCAUGUGUCUACUAAUCAUCUGUACAUCUUCUGUGAGAAAAGGUCUAUUCAGGUACUCUGCCCAUUUUUUAAUUGGAUUGUUUUUUGGUGUUGAGUUGUAGAAGUUCUUGAUAUAUUUUGGA